rnacentral:misc_RNA from 1 species
GAAAUGCGAUAAGUAAUGUGAAUUGCAGAAUUCAGUGAAUCAUCGAAUCUUUGAACGCACCUUGCGCUCCUUGGUAUUCCUUGGAGCAUGCCUGUUUGAGUAUCAUGAAAUCUUCAAAGUAAAUCUUUUGUUAACUCAAUUGGUUUCUACUUUGGUAUUGGAGGUCUUUGCAGCUUCACACCUGCUCCUCUUUGUUCAUUAGCUGGAUCUCAGUGUUAUGCUUGGUUCCACUCGGCGUGAUAAGUUAUCUAUCGCUGAGGACACUGUAAAAGGUGGCCAAGGUAAAUGCAGAUGAACCGCUUCUAAUAGUCCAUUGACUUGGACAAUACUUUUAUGAUCUGAUCUCACAUCAGUUAGGACUACCCGCUGAACUUAAGC